GACGAACGCUGGCGGCGUGCUUAACACAUGCAAGUCGAACGGACAGGUCCUGCUUAUGUGGGGUGCUCGAAUGGCGAACGGGUGAGUAACCCUUGUGUAACCUGCCCUUGACUUUGGGAUAACUUCAGGCAACUGGGGCUAAUACCGGAUAGGAGCUCCCGCUGAAUGGUGGGGGUUGGAAAGUUUCGGCGGUUGGGGAUGGACUCGCGGCCUAUCAGCUUGUUGGUGGGGUAGUGGCUUACCAAGGCUUUGAAGGGUAGCCGGCCUGAUAGGGUCACCGGACACGUUGGGACGGGAAUACGACCCAGACUCCUACGGGACGCAGGAGUGGAGAAUAGUGCACAAUGGGCGGAAGCCAGAUGCAGCAACGCCGCGUGGGGGAUGACGGCAUUCGCGUAGUAAACCGCUUUCGCCUGUGACGAAGCGUGAGUGACGGUAAUGGGAAAAGAAGCACCGGCUAACUACGUG
rnacentral:rRNA from 1 species